GGUCGGGGACAACCACUGGAAACGGUGGCUAAUACCGGAUAUGCCUUCGGGUAAAAGAUCUAUUGCCAGAAGAAGAGCUCGCGUCUGAUUAGCUAGUUGGUAGGGUAAAAGCCUACCAAGGCAUCGAUCAGUAGCUGGUCUGAGAGGACGAUCAGCCACACUGGGACUGAGACACGGCCCAGACUCCUACGGGAGGCAGCAGUGGGGAAUUUUCCGCAAUGGGCGAAAGCCUGACGGAGCAAGACCGCGUGAGGGAAGAAGGCUCUUGGGUCGUAAACCUCUUUUGUUAGGGAAGAACACAAUGACGGUACCUAACGAAUCAGCCUCGGCUAACUCCGUGCCAGCAGCCGCGGUAAUACGGAGGAGGCAAGCGUUAUCUGGAAUUAUUGGGCGUAAAGCGUCCGCAGGUGGCGAUUCAAGUCUGCGGUCAAAGACUGGGGCUUAACCCUGGAAAGGCCGUGGAAACUGAAGAGCUAGAGUGCAGUAGGGGUAGAGGGAAUUCCCGGUGUAGCGGUGAAAUGCGUAGAGCUCGGGAAGAACAUCGGUGGCGAAAGCGCUCUGCUGGACUGCAACUGACACUCAGGGACGAAAGCUAG
rnacentral:rRNA from 1 species